rnacentral:lncRNA from 1 species
GUUUCUGGGCAGGAGUAGUAACCAGAUUAAAUUGGGUACGUUUUUUAUCCGGCCAUGCAAAUACUGCCCCCUAGCCCAGACAGGUUGAAGACACAGUCAACUUAGUGUAUGUAAACUUCAGUGAAUGAUAAGUGAAAUAAUCUGUCUGUAAACAAUUGUUGGAAAUAUUACUUGUGUCAUGCACAAAGUAGAUGUCCUAACCGACUUGUUAACAAGAAAUGUGUGGAGUGGUUGAAAAACAAAUUUGAAUGACUCCAACCUAAGUGUAUGUAAACUUCUGACUUCAACAGUACAUAGCCAUGGAAUCACAAGUCACUUUAAUAGUGGAACACUAGUCACUCUAAUAAUGUUUACAUUCUGCUUUACUCGUUUCAUAUGUACAUGCUGUAUUGUACUGUAUUUUAGUCAAUGCCACUCCGACAUUGCUCCUCCUAAAAUUUGAGCUGUUAACCAAGUUAGUCCCAGAUUAGUUUUCCAACGGAGCCUUCUUUGUCUGGAGAGGUAAAUGAACGAUUCCAAUGCUGUAGGUCCUGUAUCUACUAAAUCAAAUCAAAUGUUAUUGGACACAUACACAUGGUUAGCAGAUGUUAUUGCGAGUGUAGCGAAAUGCUUGUGCUUCUAGUUCCGGCAAUGCAGCAAUAUCUAAUAAGUAAUCUAACAAAUCCACAACAACUACCUAAGACACACAAAUCUAAGUGAAGGAAUGGAAUAAGAAUAUAUAAAUAUAUGGAUGAGCAAUGACAGAGCGGCAUAGGCAAGAUGCAGUGGAAGGUAUAAAAUACAGUAUAUACAUAUGAGAUGAGAACUGCAAGAUAUGUAAACAUUAUUAAAGAGGCAUUAUUAAAGUGACUAGUGAUCCAUUUAUUAAAGUGGCCAAUGAUUUCAAGUCUGUAUGUAGGCAGCAUCCUCUCUGUGUUAGUGAUGGCUGUUUAACAAUCUGAUGGCCUUGAGAGAGAAGCUGUUUUUCAGUCUCUCUGUCCCAGCUUUGAUGCACCUGUACUGCCCUCACCUUCUGGGUGGUGGCGGGGUGAACAGGCAGUGGCUCGGGUGGUUGUUGUCCUUGAUGAUAUUUUUGGUCUUCCUGUGACAUCGGGGGCUGUAGGUGUCCUGUAGGGCAGGUAGUUUGCCCCCGGUGAUGUGUUGUGCAGACCGCACCAUCCUCUGGAGAGCCCUGGGCGGUGCAGUUGCCGUACAAGGCAGUGAUACAGCCCGACAGGAUGCUCUAAAUUGUGCAUCUGUAAAAGUUUGUGAGGGUUUUAGGUGAAGAGCCAAAUUUCUUCAGCCUCCUGAGGUUGAAGAGACGCUGUUGUGCUUUCUUCACCACACUGUCUGUGUGGGUGGACCAUUUCAGUUUGUCCGUGAUGUGUACGCCGAGGAACUUAAAACUUUCCACAUUCUCCACUGCUGUUCCUUCAAUGUGGAUAGGGGGGUGCUCCCUCUGCUGUUUCUUGAAGUCCACGAUCAUCUCCUUUGUUUUGUUGAUGUUAAGUGAGCGGUUGUUUUCCUGACACCACACUCUGAGUUCCCUGACCUCCUCCCUGUAGACUGUCUCGUCAUUGUUGGUAAUCAAGCCUACUACUGUUGUGUCGUCUGCAGACAUGAUGAUUGAGUUGGAGCUGUGCUUUACCACGCAGUCAUGGGUAAACAGGCAGUAAAUAAUAAUAAUCAUGUUUUGCAUGCACCCUUGAGGGGCCCCAGUGUUGAGGAUUAGCGAAGUGAAGAUGUUGUUUCCUACCUUCACCACCUGGGGGCGGCCUGUCAGGAAGUCCAGGAGACCCAGGACCUCUAGCUUAAUGAUGAGCUUGGAGGGUACUAUCGUGUUGAAAGCUGAGCUGAAGUCAAAGAACAGCAUUCUUACAUCCUUUUGUCCAGAUGGGAUAGGGAAGUGUGCAGUAUAUUUUAACUGCCUGUGUUUUGUAUCUUAAUGUGCAUAUUGUGUAUAUUUAUGUUUCUCUAUACUUGCCUAUUGAUGUGUUUGUUUUUUGUAUUGUGCAGGUCUCAAUAUGACUUCCAUCUGCAUCAAGACAUGAGUGUGAUGCCCCUACCAGUUGAGCUCUCUGUGUGUGAGUCCUCCCGGUUUUGACUUUUGCCUGUUUCUGGACUCUGUACCCGCCUGCCUUGACCAUGACCGUGUCUGCCACUCUGUACCUCCUGGACUCUGAUAUGGUUUUGACCUUUUGCCUGUCCACAACCAUUCUCUUGCCUACCCCUUUGGAUUAUUA